rnacentral:rRNA from 1 species
UCAGAUUGAACGCUGGCGGUGUGCUUCACACAUGCAAGUCGAACGGAGUAGCAAUACUCAGUGGCGGACGGGUGAGUAACACGUGGGAAUCUACCAUUAGAUGGGGAAUAACAGGCCGAAAGGACUGCUAAUGCCGCAUAUGUAUGUGCCUCGACAGGGGCGUAUAUGAAAGGAGUAAUCCGUCUGAUGAUGAGCCCGCGUCCGAUUAGCUAGUUGGUAGGGUAAAAGCCUACCAAGGCGACGAUCGGUAGGUGGUCUGAGAGGAUGAUCACCCACAAUGGGACUGAGACACGGCCCAUACUCCUACGGGAGGCAGCAGUGGGGAAUUUUGUGCAAUGGGGGAAACCCUGACACAGCGACACCGCGUGAGCGAAGAAGCCCUUUGGGGUGUAAAGCUCUGUCAACGGGAACGAAAAAAAUGACGGUACCCGUGGAGGAAGCAUCGGCUAACUACGUGCCAGCAGCCGCGGUAAGACGUAGGAUGCAAGCGUUGUCCGGAUUUAUUGGGCGUAAAGAGUUCGUAGGCUGUUUGUUAAGUCUGAUGUUAAAGACUGGGGCUCAACCUCGGAAAUGCAUUGGAUACUGGCAGACUGGAGUGCAGUAGAGGCUAGUGGAAUUCCCAGUGUAGCGGUGAAAUGCGUAGAUAUUGGGAAGAACACCGGUGGCGUAGGCGACUAGCUGGGCUGUAACUGACGCUGAGGAACGAAAGCCAGGGGAGCGAAUGGGAUUAGAUACCCCAGUAGUCCUGGCCGUAAACGAUGGA